rnacentral:lncRNA from 1 species
CGGGUGAGUUAUCUCAAGCUCACCGCCAAUAGCAUCGGGGUGCUGCAAAGUCACUGUGAGAAGCAGUGGCUCAAUGGCACAAAGAGAGUCGGGCACCGCAACAUCUCCAAUCAAAGGCAGUGUACGGUUGCUGCGUGGGUGUCGGUGAGGAGUCGACAGUUGUGGGAAUGGCUACUGGUGAAAAAGGUGGCUGUCGAUGAAAGGGAGUGGUUGUUGGAGUAUGGUUUUGCAAGUAAUGUAAGCUCCGCUGCUAUAGCGGCGAAUGAUGGGAGAUCUGUGGAAAUUUUGUCGCAAUCUGGUACCGAAGUUUUGUUGGUUGCGAUUUAGGG